UUUAGUCUCAGCCUUACCUAAGCACAGAAGUUGGCUGAAUAUUCUGUUACCAAUUACACAGAAAUUUGGGUCAGUGAUGGAGGAGAGAACAGGAGGAAAAAAAGAGCUUGGUUUAAACAGCACCCAGGAAUCUUGUAAUUUUAUUGCCCAGCCAGCAGACCUGCCAUAGCAGACAUGAGGAAGAUGGGAGAGCAGCAGCCAGGGGAAGAUCAAACACCACAGAAUGGACUUCAGGCCCAACCAAACAGAAAACACCACCAUUUUCAGCCUCCCCUUCCACUGCCACCCCCAGUGUCACACAAAAUCCCAGCAGUGAAAAUAAACAGAAGAAAGCUCUGUUUCAGAACCUCAUGUGGACAUUCCCCGAAGGGAAAAAACCCACAAGAAUAAACUCUUGCUCA